UGUUUGUCACAUACAUACAUAGUUUUAGCUUGAUAUUUAAUGUGGGAAAAGAUUUCUUUCUUUUUUUUGAGUUUCCAAAAAAGCUUUAACGUGUGAACCGUGUGAUUAGCAAAUGUCUCUGGAAAAAGAAAUAAUUUUUUUCCAUAUUUCCUGAACACAGUUUAUUUCAUAUACUGCAUCCUCAAUAUAAUUGUAAUUCUCUAAGACCCCACUCAUGGUGAAAUGACACUUCUAACCCGUAUCCAUAUUAUGAGAUCCAUAUAAUAAUUCUCACUUAUCUUUGCCUUCUCGCGUCACAAACUAACAAAAAGAUAAAAUCAAACAAAGGUUACGCUCUCGAAUGUUCUUGCCUUCGAAAACUAUAUUCACAUUGCUUACUAGUAGCGUGCUUCGCCAUCAUUAUCAUAGCCAUAUAGCAAUCAAAAAAGUAUUGCACAACAACUGGAAAAACUGGCUCGAUAGGCAAAGAAAUUAUCUAUUUGAUUGGCGGCGAAGUCAUUCGUCAUCGUCAUCAUCGCCGUCGUCGUCACUCCAGAAAAAUACACCACCAACCAACUAAAUAAACAAUCGCCAACAAAACAAGUGAUGGAGUGACUCAUGUGAUUCACACUUAGAGUGGAAAUGUCAAUGCUCAGAGCAAACGAACGCAGAAUGCCACAAUAAUGUGAUUCACAGUGACUAAUCAUAAUAUCCACUAGUCGCUUUGGGUCUCUCUGAAAUUAGAAAGAAA